CAGAUUCUGCACUAGAAAUUCCUCCCAGUCGAGGGCUUUUUUUCCCUCCUGUGAAAAAUAAACCAGAAGAAAGGAGAAGAUGUAUUUUUGUAAUUUAGUUUCAUGAUUUUAAGGACCAAAUCUCAGCUUUAUUUCUCUAGAAUAGGAAAUAGAGAUAUCGUUGUCAUCUUAUGUUUUUUCUCACUUGAUCUGAUCUAUGAUCUGUUGAAACUUGAUCAUCUGUUCUUGCAAGUGAGGUUUUGUUGCUACAUUUCUGAACUUCAAAAUUAGAAAAAUAAUAUCCUGAAGCUUCUAAUACUUACAGUUGAGCUGACUUUAUAUUCUGUUUACACCUACCAUUUUACAUAAAUCUUUAUGCCUUUUAUUUAGAAGACAACAUAAAAAUUAAAAGAGAAAAAAUAUCCCCCAUAUUCAUAAUACCUCUCUAUGGACUAUUCUUUUGUGGGAUAAGGUAGGUGGGAGAAUGGAAGAGUAGCAGACCCAUUAGAAUACAAAACAUAUGCCCUGGAAUACACUUGUGUCAGUGACAAAUGCUGCUUUGCUGUGCUACAUCGAGUACAAGUCCAGUGAUUCAAGUUUGACACACCACACCACGGUGGAUGUGCCUUGUCAUGACACAUCUUCUCAGCAGCACUAGAAGAUACAUCCAAAGUCCUGUGAGCAAGGACACAGCGAGAAGAUGGCUGUCUACAAGCCAGGAAGAGAGUCCUCACCAGAACCAAACCCUGCUGGACUUUGAUCUUGGACUUCCCAGCCUCUAAAACUGUGAAGACAUAAAUUUCUGUUGUUAAACCCA
rnacentral:lncRNA from 10 species